rnacentral:rRNA from 1 species
GACGAACGCUGGCGGCGUGCUUAACACAUGCAAGUCGAGCGAUGAAGCUUCCUUCGGGAAGUGGAUUAGCGGCGGACGGGUGAGUAACACGUGGGUAACCUGCCUCAAAGUGGGGGAUAGCCUUCCGAAAGGAAGAUUAAUACCGCAUAAUAUGAGAGAAUCGCAUGAUUUUUUUAUCAAAGAUUUAUUGCUUUGAGAUGGACCCGCGGCGCAUUAGCUAGUUGGUAAGGUAACGGCUUACCAAGGCAACGAUGCGUAGCCGACCUGAGAGGGUGAUCGGCCACAUUGGAACUGAGACACGGUCCAGACUCCUACGGGAGGCAGCAGUGGGGAAUAUUGCGCAAUGGGGGAAACCCUGACGCAGCAACGCCGCGUGGGUGAUGAAGGUCUUCGGAUUGUAAAGCCCUGUUUUCUGGGACGAUAAUGACGGUACCAGAGGAGGAAGCCACGGCUAACUACGUGC